GAUUUGUGAUCACCUUGACUAAGGGAUCGUAAGGCAACACGAGUGAGGCGUCGGGAAGUCAAGCCGGUGCGGACGCUCGUUUAAAGGGAAAGCUUUGAGCUUUCAAGUAAGUCAACCAAGCGGAUGGUGAUCAACGCAAGGCUUAUGAACCGAACACAUUCAAGAAGUAGUUCCGAAAAUUUUGUCUUAGAUGAUCAUUAGUAAUAAUUUUGUAAUAGAAGG